AGUGAACGCUGGCGGUAGACCUAACACAUGCAAGUCGAACGGCAGCACAGUAAGAGCUUGCUCUUACGGGUGGCGAGUGGCGGACGGGUGAGGAAUACAUCGGAAUCUACUUUUUCGUGGGGGAUAACGUAGGGAAACUUACGCUAAUACCGCAUACGACCUACGGGUGAAAGCAGGGGAUCUUCGGAUCUUGCGCGAUUGAAUGAGCCGAUGUCGGAUUAGCUAGUUGGCGGGGUAAAGGCCCACCAAGGCGACGAUCCGUAGCUGGUCUGAGAGGAUGAUCAGCCACACUGGAACUGAGACACGGUCCAGACUCCUACGGGAGGCAGCAGUGGGGAAUAUUGGACAAUGGGCGCAAGCCUGAUCCAGCCAUACCGCGUGGGUGAAGAAGGCCUUCGGGUUGUAAAGCCCUUUUGUUGGGAAAGAAAAGCAGCAGGUUAAUACCCCGCUGUUCUGACGGUACCCAAAGAAUAAGCACCGGCUAACUUCGU
rnacentral:rRNA from 1 species